GACAGAGGGUGCAAACGUUGCUCGGAAUCACUGGGCGUAAAGGGCGUGUAGGCGGGAAGGAAAGUCAGAUGUGAAAUCCCUGGGCUCAACCCAGGAACUGCAUUUGAAACUCCCUUUCUUGAGUGUCGGAGAGGAAAGCGGAAUUCCUGGUGUAGAGGUGAAAUUCGUAGAUAUCAGGAGGAACACCGGUGGCGAAGGCGGCUCUCUGGGACGGUACUGACGCUGAGACGCGAAAGCGUGGGGAGCGAACAGG
rnacentral:rRNA from 1 species